AUUGAACGCUGGCGGCAUGCCUUACACAUGCAAGUCGAACGGCAGCACGGGAGCAAUCCUGGUGGCGAGUGGCGAACGGGUGAGUAAUAUAUCGGAACGUGCCCAGUCGUGGGGGAUAACGUAGCGAAAGCUACGCUAAUACCGCAUACGAUCUAUGGAUGAAAGCGGGGGAUCGCAAGACCUCGCGCGAUUGGAGCGGCCGAUAUCAGAUUAGGUAGUUGGUGAGGUAAAGGCUCACCAAGCCGACGAUCUGUAGCUGGUCUGAGAGGACGACCAGCCACACUGGGACUGAGACACGGCCCAGACUCCUACGGGAGGCAGCAGUGGGGAAUUUUGGACAAUGGGCGCAAGCCUGAUCCAGCAAUGCCGCGUGCAGGAUGAAGGCCUUCGGGUAGUAAACUGCUUUUGUACGGAACGAAACGGUGAGCUCUAAUACAGUUUGCUAAUGACGGUACCGUAAGAAUAAGCACCGGCUAACUACGUG
rnacentral:rRNA from 1 species